AGCGGCAGGCUUAACACAUGCAAGUCGAGGGGUAACAGGGAGCUUGCUCCGCUGACGACCGGCGCACGGGUGCGUAACGCGUAUAGAAUCUGCCUUACACUGAGGGAUAGCCUUUGGAAACGAAGAUUAAUACCUCAUGGUAUCAUUGACUGGCAUCGGUUGAUGAUUAAAGGAUACGGUGUAAGAUGACUAUGCGUCCUAUUAGCUAGAUGGUAAGGUAACGGCUUACCAUGGCUACGAUAGGUAGGGGCCCUGAGAGGGGGAUCCCCCACACUGGUACUGAGACACGGACCAGACUCCUACGGGAGGCAGCAGUGAGGAAUAUUGGACAAUGGAGGCAACUCUGAUCCAGCCAUGCCGCGUGAAGGAUGACUGCCCUAUGGGUUGUAAACUUCUUUUAUACAGGAAGAAACACUCUUACGUGUAAGAGCUUGACGGUACUGUAUGAAUAAGCACCGGCUAACUCCGUGCCAGCAGCCGCGGUAAUACGGAGGGUGCAAGCGUUAUCCGGAAUCAUUGGGUUUAAAGGGUCCGUAGGCGGACUAAUAAGUCAGAGGUGAAAUCCCGCAGCUCAACUGUGGAACUGCCUUUGAAACUGUUAGUCUUGAGUUAUUGUGAAGUGGUUAGAAUAUGUAGUGUAGCGGUGAAAUGCUUAGAGAUUACAUGGAAUACCGAUUGCGAAGGCAGAUCACUAACAAUAUACUGACGCUGAUGGACGAAAGCGUGGGGAGCGAACAGGAUUAGAUACCCUGGUAGUCCACGCCGUAAACGAUGGAUACUAGCUGUUCGGACGUAAGUCUGAGUGGCUAAGCGAAAGUGAUA
rnacentral:rRNA from 1 species